AUUGAACGCUGGCGGCAGACCUAACACAUGCAAGUCGAACGCGAAAGUCCUUCGGGAUGAGUAGAGUGGCGGACGGGUGAGUAACGCGUAGGAAUCUGUCCGGUAGUGGGGGAUAACGUUCCGAAAGGAACGCUAAUACCGCAUACGCCCCACGGGGGAAAGGGGGGGAUCCUUCGGGACCUCCCGCUAUCGGAGGAGCCUGCGUCGGAUUAGCUAGUUGGUAGGGUAAAGGCCUACCAAGGCGACGAUCCGUAGCUGGUCUGAGAGGAUGAUCAGCCACACCGGAACUGAGACACGGUCCGGACGCCUACGGGAGGCAGCAGUGGGGAAUAUUGCGCAAUGGGCGAAAGCCUGACGCAGCCAUGCCGCGUGUGUGAAGAAGGCCUUCGGGUUGUAAAGCACUUUCAGUGGGGAGGAAAGGGGGAUGGCGAAUACCCAUCACCGGUGACGCUACCCACAGAAGAAGCACCGGCUAAUUCCGUGCCAGCCGCCGCCGUAAAAC
rnacentral:rRNA from 1 species